GACGAACGCUGGCGGCGUGCUUAACACAUGCAAGUCGAACGGAAAGACGCUGCUUUUGUGGGGUGCUCGAGUGGCGAGCGUGUGAGUAACCCGUGAGUAACCUGCCCUUGACUUUGGGAUAACUUCAGGCAACUGCGGAUAAUACCGGCUAGGAGCUCCUGCUGCAUGGUGGGGGUUGGAACGUUUCGGCGGUUGGGGAUGGACUCGCGGCUUAUCAGCUUGUUGGUGGGGUAGUGGCUUACCAAGGCUUUGACGGGUAGCCGGCACGGGAGGGGGACCGGCGUCAAUGGGACUGAGGUAGGGCGCAGAGUGCUACGUGAGGCAGCAGUGGGGAGUAUUGCACAGUGGGCGGAAGCGUGAUGCAGCAACGCCGCGAGCGUGAUGACGGCCUUCGGGGGAGAAACCGCUUUAGCUUGUGACGAAGCGUGAGUGACGGUAAUAAGUAAAGAAGCACCGGCUAACUACGUG
rnacentral:rRNA from 1 species